rnacentral:rRNA from 1 species
GGGUUUGAUUAUGGCUCAGGAUGAACGCUGGCGGCGUGCUUAACACAUGCAAGUCGAACGAACCUUCGGGUUAGUGGCGGACGGGUGAGUAACGCGUGGGAAUCUGCCCUCAGGAGGGGGAUAACGGCCGGAAACGGCCGCUAAUACCCCAUAUGCCGAGAGGUGAAAUGAAUUUCGCCUGAGGAUGAGCCCGCGUCUGAUUAGCUAGUUGGUGAGGUAAGAGCUCACCAAGGCAUCGAUCAGUAGCUGGUCUGAGAGGAUGAUCAGCCACACUGGGACUGAGACACGGCCCAGACUCCUACGGGAGGCAGCAGUGGGGUAUUUUCCGCAAUGGGCGAAAGCCUGACGGAGCAACGCCGCGUGAGGGAUGAAGGCCUCUGGGCUGUAAACCUCUUUUAUCAAGGAAGAAGAUCUGACGGUACUUUAUGCAAUUAAUCACG